rnacentral:rRNA from 1 species
GGGAGGUAGUGACAAUAAAUAACAAUACGGGGCCUUUCAGGUCUCGUAAUUGGAAUGAGUACAAUCUAAACCCCUUAACGAGGAACAAUUGGAGGGCAAGUCUGGUGCCAGCAGCCGCGGUAAUUCCAGCUCCAAUAGCGUAUAUUAAAGUUGUUGCAGUUAAAAAGCUCGUAGUUGAACCUUAGGCCCGUGCGGGCGGUCCGUCCUCUGGGCGAGCACUGCUUCGUCGCGGGUCUCACCUUCUGGCGAGCGUGGAUGCCAUUUAUUUGGUGUCCGCGGGAACCAGGACCUUUACCUUGAAAAAAUUAGAGUGCUCAAAGCGGGCUCCGACGCUUGAAUACAUUAGCAUGGAAUAAUGAAAUAGGACGUUCGAUCUUAUUUUGUUGGUUUCUAGGAUUGACGUAAUGAUUAAUAGGGAUAGUUGGG